rnacentral:RNase_MRP_RNA from 1 species
ACACGCUUCGGAGCAAACACACGGAGACGUGCUCUGCACUCUCGACCCCCUCGCUCUGAGGAAAGUCCCCGGGCACCUCGGCAGAGAGUGCCACCCGUGAAGGUUAGGUCCCCGCGGCUGUGGGGGCACGAAGACGGCCUUCGGGCCUGAGGUUCCCCGCACUGUGGGUCCGGCCGUAGGGUACAGUUAUGCGUGUCGGGGCCUUCGGGUCCUCGAACAGAACGGGGCUUACUCUGGCG